rnacentral:misc_RNA from 1 species
UAGCCGUAUCUUUGAGUUGCUGCACACUCCAGCUUCUGGAUUUUCAGUAAUCACCCCAGCCAAUCUCCAACAAAUAGUGGAGGUGCUGUUAGAGAGUAUAAAAGAUGUUCCUCAUGUUGCUGAAAAAGUUUGUGGGGCUAUCUAUUUUCUUUCUCAAGGAUAUGAGGAUGCUGGGACAAGCUCGUCUCUGCUCACUCCAUUUAUAACUCAGAUUAUUAGUUCUCUUAUUACAACGGCUGAUCGGACUGACAGUGGUUCUAAGCUCAGAACCACAGCAUAUGAAACCUUGAAUGAAGUUGUUAGGUGCUCUAAUCUUUCUGAAACAUCUCAGAUUAUUAAUCACCUUUGCCCUGUUAUCAUGGACAAGUUGGCACAAACUUUUGAGCUUCAGAUUCUAUCCUCUGAUGAUAGAGAAAAACAGGGAGAUCUACAGGCUUCUCUAUGUGGUGUACUCCAGGUUAUUAUUCAGAAGCUAAGUAGUGCUGAUGAAACCAAGGCUAUAAUACUCCAAGUUGCUGACCAGAUCAUGACAUUGUUCCUGAAGGUUUUUGCCUGUCGUAGCUCAACUGUCCACGAAGAGGCUAUGCUUGCUAUUGGUGCGCUGGCCUAUGCAACUGGAUCAGACUUUUUGAAGUAUAUGCCAGAGUUUUACAAGUAUAUUGAGAUGGGGCUGCAGAAUUUUGAAGAAUACCAGGUUUGUUCCAUCUCAGUGGGGGUGGUUGGUGAUAUUUGCCGUGCAUUGGAUGACAAGAUCUUGCCAUACUGUGAUGGGAUCAUGACUCUUCUUCUCAAAGAUUUAUCUAGCGGUGAACUUAACCGAUCUGUAAAACCUCCCAUAUUCUCCUGCUUUGGGGAUAUUGCGCUUGCUAUUGGUGAACACUUUGAGAAGUACCUUCAGUAUGCAUUACCUAUGAUGCAAAGUGCAGCUCAAAUGUGUGCCCAACUAGACAAUAGUGAUGAUGAAAUGCUAGAAUAUGGCAACCAGCUCAGACGCAGUAUUUUUGAAGCAUACUCUGGACUUCUUCAAGGAUUUAAGAGUACCAAGGCCAACUUGAUGUUACCCCAUGCUCCUCAUCUCUUGCAGUUCAUUGAACUGGUUGCCAAAGACAGCCCAAGAGACGAGAGUGUAACAAAAGCAGCAGUAGCUGUGUUGGGAGAUCUAGCUGAUGCUCUUGGUUCCAGUGCAAAGACCAUAUUCAAAGAUCCUGCAUUUCUCGAACAGCUUUUGGGUGAGUGUCUUCAAUCCGAUGAUGAACAGCUGAAAGAAACAGCAACCUGGACACAAGGAAUGAUUGGGCGCGCUUUCUCUGUUUGUGGGUGAGCUGUAUCUUAGAGUUGCUCUUUAUCUAGGAAUCUUGUUUUUUUACCCAUCAUAUUGCCGAGGCUGAGUUGUCAGGUUACCAAGGUGGGGUUUAUAUAAUCAACUAAGCUUGCAUCUCUUGUGUUGGCUAUGAAAGUUGAAAUUCUUCCUUCAAAAUUUUUGGUAUGCAGACUUGUAGCUUCAAAAAGUGUCAAGGUCACCUUGCUGUUGUUAUAACUUUGUCUAGUCUAUAAUAUUACAAGUCAG